AGAGUUUGAUCCUGGCUCAGAUUGAACGCUGGCGGCGUGGAUUAGGCAUGCAAGUCGAACGGGAUUGUUUUGAUUGAACCUUCGGGUGAUUUCAUUUCAUGAGAGUGGCGAACGGGUGAGUAAUGUAUGAACAACUUGCCUCUAAGUUUGGGACAGCCCAUGGAAACGUGGAUUAAUACCGGAUGUGCUCGAGUGUCGCAUGACACUCUGCGUAAAGGUGGGGACUCUUCGGAGCCUGCCGCUUAGAGAUGGGUUCAUAUCGUAUCAGCUAGUUGGUGAGGUAACGGCUCACCAAGGCUUUGACGCGUAGCUGGUCUGAGAGGAUGAUCAGCCACACUGGGACUGAGACACUGCCCAGACUCCUACGGGAGGCUGCAGUCGAGAAUCAUUCGCAAUGCACGAAAGUGUGACGAUGCGACGCCGCGUGGAGGAUGACGGCCUUCGGGUUGUAAACUCCUGUCAUUAGGGAGCAACAGUUCAUCAUCUAAUAGAUGUUGAAUUUGAUAGUACCUAAAGAGGAAGUCACGGCUAACUCUGUGCCAGCAGCCGCGGUAAUACAGAGGUGGCAAGCGUUAAUCGGAAUUACUGGGCGUAAAGGGUCCGUAGGCGGUUCGAUGUGUCGGAUGUGAAAUGCAACAGCUCAACUGUUGAAUGGCAUUCGAAACUGUCGAACUAGAGUUCUGGAGGGGAGAAGGGAACAGUUGGUGUAGCGGUGAAAUGCGUAGAUAUCAACUGGAACACCGGUGGCGAAGGCGCUUCUCUGGACAGAUACUGACGCUCAUGGACGAAAGCCAAGGGAGCGAAAGGGAUUAGAUACCCCUGUAGUCUUAGCAGUAAACGGUGUGCACUUGUUGUUGGUGGUUUAACCCCCAUCAGUGACGGAGCUAACGCGUUAAGUGCACCGCCUGGGGAGUACGGUCGCAGGAUUAAAACUCAAAGGAAUUGACGGGGGCCCGCACAAGCGGUGGAGCAUGUGGCUUAAUUCGAUGCAACGCGAAGAACCUUACCUGGACUUGACAUAGUGACCCUUCGGGGGUGUUGAGGAAACUCGCUUUACGCAUACAGGUGCUGCAUGGCUGUCGUCAGCUCGUGCCGUGAGGUGUUGGGUUAAGUCCCGCAACGAGCGCAACCCUCGUGUUUAGUUGCCAUCAGGUAAUGCUGGGCACUCUAAACAGACUGCCUGUGAUAAGCAGGAGGAAGGUGGGGAUGACGUCAAGUCAGUAUGGUCCUUAUGUCCAGGGCUGCACACGUGCUACAAUGGUCGGUACAGAAGGAAGCUAGACCGCGAGGUGGAGCAAAUCCCUAAAGCCGGCCCCAGUUCGGAUUGUAGUCUGCAACUCGACUACAUGAAGUCGGAAUCGCUAGUAAAGGCGUAUCAGCUACGACGCCUUGAAUACGUUCCCGGGCCUUGUACACACCGCCCGUCACAUCACGAAAGUUGUCUGCACCCGAAGUCGCUGAUCUAACCCUUUAUUGGGAGGAAGGCGCCGAAGGUGUGGGGGAUGAUUGGGAUGAAGUCGUAACAAGGUA
rnacentral:rRNA from 1 species